GGGAGGCGGGGCGCGGCCGCAGGAAGUGCCGAUCUCGAUCUCGGGGCUGAGCGCGGCUGCGGUGCUGACCCGCCAGCCCUGCAGCCCCCAGCCGGCCCGGCCCCGGCGGCCCUCGCUGCGGAGCCCGCAGCCGCACCGUCUGACCCUCUCUUGCCAGCAUCCGACCUCACAGAGAGCUUCGCUGAGGAGCGGCCCCGCCUGGGUCCUGCUACCUGCCGGCUCAUCGCGCCUGGAACCCGGCCCAGCAGCCAUGGCCCACUACAAGGUGGAGCAGGAUGACUGGCUGACCGUCUACCUGAAGUAUUUGCUCUUCAUCUUUAACUUCUUCUUCUGGGUGGGGGGCGCCGCGGUCAUGGCCGUGGGCGUCUGGACCCUGGUGGAGAAGAGCGGCUACCUCGGUGUCCUGGCCUCCAGCACCUUCGCCGCCUCUGCCUACAUCCUCAUCUUUGCGGGUGCCCUCGUCAUGGUGACCGGCUUCCUGGGCUUCGGCGCCGUCAUCCGCGAGGACAGGGGCUGCCUCUCUGCGUAUUUCUGCCUGUUGCUGGCGAUCUUCCUCGUUGAGCUGGUGGCAGGGGUCCUGGCCCAUGUGUACUACCAGAGGCUGAGCGACGAGCUAAAGCAGCACUUGAGCCGGACCCUGGCCGAGAACUACAGGCAGCCGGGCGCUGCAGAAAUCACAGCGUCUGUGGACCGUCUACAGCAGGAUUUCAAAUGCUGCGGGAGCAACAGCUCAGCCGACUGGCUGCAGAGCAGCUAUAUCCUGUCUCCAGAGGCUGAGGGCCGCCGGGUGCCGGACAGCUGCUGCAAGACGGUGGUGGCACGCUGCGGCCAGCGGGCACACCCCUCCAACAUCUACAAGGUGGAGGGAGGCUGCAUCAGCAAGCUGGAGCAGUUCCUGGCUGAUCACCUGCUGCUCAUGGGGGCCGUGGGGAUCGGGGUGGCCUGCCUGCAGAAAACGUGAAGGAAAAGGCCCUGGGAACUUGUCAGGAACAAAGACCUGGGAGGAGUGGGAGUGUGGGUGCAGAUUUGUGGCAUGAUACUCACCUGCGGCUUGCACCGGAGGCUCCAACUGCAUUUUUACUAACAGCCGACCGCGUUCUGCUCUGACUGCCCCUCACAAGUUCAGGGGCCCAAGGCCCACAGGCCAGGCCUGUGGGGUCAGCACCAGCUGGCCUGGAAGCUCCCAGCAACUCCCCCUCCUCUGUGCCCAGCCCCUCUGGACCACCCAGUAACUGCGACCAUGGCCCCUUCAGCCCCAACCCGGCUGGGGACCCUCGGCCCUCGCCCUCCACUUCUGCGUGCUCAUCACCAGAAUCCCGGGGCAAGAGAGCACAGCCCGAACCUCGCCAGGCCUAGGCUCCCGUGGACCCUGGGGGGCUGUGAUGAAAUCUGCUUUCCUCCCCACUCCUGAACCCUGAACGGGGGCUGGCCACUUUGCCCCCAUUGGGACGCCCGCAUACGAGCCUGUGAUCCCCCAUAUGGGCGCUGAGCACUCCUCUCCCACCCCUGCUGGAUGUGCUCCCUGAGAAAUGCAUUGAAUAGGCAAUUAGAGUUGGCUCUGCCCCCAGAAGACCACGGCCUUUGCCCUCCCCUCUUCCCCUCCCCUCCCACCCGCACCAUCUCACCUGGAGAGAAGUGUCCCAUGGCCUGAUUCCUUCCUGCAGGGCAGGGUUGGGUGGUGGCAGGGUGGGGAGCAGGUGCCUGCCUCCAGGCCCUCCUCAGGAGGGUCCCCUGGGAGCCCAUGACCCCAAGCCCCAAUCUCCAGCCAUGUGCCCCUCGGGGGUCUCCUCUCUGGACUGAUGCUCAAAGAAAGCCAAGUUUUUUAAAAAAACUAUCAUCUGCCCUUCAUGUUGGUGGGAGUAAAAUCCUUCCUGAUUAAACCAAACCACAGACCCUGCGAAGCUGGAGCCACCGAGAAGGUGCAGCUCUUGAGCCGAGGGGUGCUCUGCCUCGAACCUCCUUUUCCUGAGCCGGUGCUCCUGGACCACCCAGCCCCCAGCACUUGGCCUGCAGAGACCCCGCUCUGCUUCCCAGAGUGGACACUGUCCCUUCAUUAGGUUCUCUCUUGCAGCUCUUGAAGCAGGGAAUUUUCAGAAAGGACUUUCCAAAAUGUGGACGGAGAACAGAAAGGAAACCCUAGGAAACACUGGGCACAGGUGCUGGCAGUUUUCCGGAGAACACGAAUCAACUCAUAAGAUCCCCCAGAGGGUCCCACGUGGGCAGAGACCCCCAUGCCAGUCCCCCGGGUCCCAGGUCCUGGAUCCUGCACUUCCUACUUCCCACCCUCAUGAUGCCGAGGUCAAGUCUGGAAAGGGCACACCUGGCCUCCGCUGUCUCUUGCUGACCUGGGCCCAUCUCCCAGGUAAAAGUGUAUUCUUUCCGAUUCAUGGAUCAGUGCUGCCCCCGUCACAGCCCCCACUGUACUGAAACCGCACACCCCUGGAGAGGGGCGACCCAUGCACUCAGAGGGCAGAGCAGCCCCCUGCAACCGCUUGCCUCCUGCCCUGGGAUUCUCUGGGGCUGUCGGGAAGGGCCCUGGGGUCACUGAUGCCAGUUCACUCUAAGGGAGACCAGCUUUCCAGCAACCCCAGAUUCCCAAGGCCCCCCAAAAAUUGGUGCUGUGAUUAUCUUUGCUGCCUCCAACUUCCUGCAUUCAUGCAGAUAACCAAAAAUGACCAUAAGUCCUAAGUUCUCUGCAGGGCUAGAUGUUAGCUGACAUCUUACAAAGUGAGGGCUGAAAGGGAGAGCACGUUCUUCCCCCUGAGGGGCCCGAGGGAGGUGGCAGUGGGUCAGGCAGUGCUGACUGGCUGCACAUGUGCCCUGCUGGGGUCCCUGCUUACUUUAUCAAGGUCAGCGGGGGCUCAUGGAGGGGUAAUGGGCAGGUGUCACCUGCACAGGCUCGUCCUGGUGGAGGCCCAGGAGAGCCUGACUUGUCUGCUCCCACCGCCCCCGUGGGUAGAGGCCCUCCUGGCUAGGGUAGGAGAACUGUGAUUCUGCCCUGGGCACGGUCCCACCCAGAGGGUGGAGGUCCACACUGCAGAGAAAGCCCUGUGCUUUCUGAAACUGGGACCUCCCUGUUGGUGCCAGCAGCUCGGGAGAUGAGACAAUGUGAGAGGAAACAGCAGUUUCUCAUGGAACACACAAAGGGUUAGGAUGGGGCUGGCCCAUCCUGCCUGCAAGGAUGCCGCUCUGUGCCCAGGACAGCCCCUCCCAGGUCCCUGCUGGGAGGUGUCCCAAUCCCAAGCUCCCUGGACAGGGAGUAGGAUGUGACGCUCAAAGGUCAUCCAUCGGUCCCCCGACACUGGGGACUGGCCAGAAAGCCAGGGUUGUGUAGCGGUCUGGACAUGGCAGGCACGGGAGUCCACGCGGCCCUGGUCGUCCCCCUGGACCAGGCUGCCGCACCUCCCUGGGCUCCCAGCGCAGCACCCAGGAGGAGCGGAGUGCUACCCCCCAGGGACCCUCGGCCCACAGCCGGUUUCCGGCUUGGACUCUGCCACCUGGUGCGUCUUGGGGGCUGAGGUAAUGGGAGUGAGUUGAAACCAUUAGUACCUCACCUCCCAUCCCCGUCAGCCUUGUAAACGUUCUCCGCCCGGUUUGCCACUUGAAGCCUGGACAGAAGGGGACGGGGUUUCCACCGGCUAAGGAGGACACCUGCCUUUGUAUCACCACUGGGUGGUGCGCACACCCCCGGGGGACGCUGGUGAUGGAGUUGUCUAAGCCGGGUUCUUCGCAUUGGUCAGGAUCAGCCUGAGAGCUUCUGAACCGUUGCUGGACCACCCUGGGCUUCUCAUCAGCAGCAGGGGCCACAGGCCUGCGUCCUGACAGGUUCCCGGGUGACAGUGAUGCCCCUGGCCCCGGGGCCACCCCCCGUGUCUGUCGCAGCCCCCGGGGUUCCGAAGCCCCCCAGGCGGCAGGCCGAAUCCCACUGGGUUCACCGGAGCAUAGGAUGAAGCACCCGACCCGCUGUGUACCUGCCAGUCCGUGACCUUGGCAGGGAGACCAGGGGCCUGGGUCCUCUCCCUGGAAGGGACAGUGAUGCCCCAGCCCCGUUUUCCCACCACCUCUGUGUGCCUUAGGAGGGCCCACUCCAUCCUCGCCCCCCGUCUUCUGUUUCCACACAACGCCCAGCCUUGUGCUCUGUUCACCGUUCCAUGUGGGCCCCCUCUCUGCCCUGCUGCCGCACCAGACACACCCCUGCAGGUGCCACCAAGAGUCCCAGGCAGCCCAGCAUCAGGAGGGCUCCUGGAUCCAGCUGCUCAUUGGAUAGGGGUCAUCACAACAUUCUGGAAACGGAAACGUUGCCUUAACCAUUUUCACAGAGAGGAAUUGCCCCAGCGUGAGCACGCCCCUCCUUAGCCUCCGCGUCCAUCCCGGGGGCACGACAAUAAAGGAAUGGUAUCCAGG